ACGGGGGCCCGCACAAGCGGUGGAGCAUGUGGUUCAACUCGACGCAACGCGAAGAACCUUACCUGGGCUUGACAUCCGCUGACCGCUACGGAAACGUAGUUUUCCCCGCAAGGGGACAGCGUGACAGGUGCUGCAUGGCUGUCGUCAGCUCGUGUCGUGAGAUGUUGGGUUAAGUCCCGCAACGAGCGCAACCCUCGACCUUAGUUGCCAGCAUUCAGUUGGGCACUCUAAGGUGACUGCCGGCUAAAAGUCGGAGGAAGGUGGGGAUGACGUCAAAUCAUCAUGCCCCUUAUGACCUGGGCUACACACGUGCUACAAUGGGCGGUACAAAGGGUCGCGAGUCGGUGACGGCGAGCUAAUCUCUUAAAGCCAAUCUCAGUUCGGAUUGUAGGCUGCAACUCGUCUACAUGAAGUCGGAAUCGCUAGUAAUCGCGGAUCAGCACGCCGCGGUGAAUACGUUCCCGGGCCUU
rnacentral:rRNA from 1 species